AAGAGAUGAGAUUGUGAAAUUGUGUCACAAGGCUAAAGGUAAUUUCUGCUUGGGAGACCUGGGCUCUGUCAUGGCCUCUGUGUGAUACCAGGAAAAUCAUGAAACUAAACAUUUCCCAUUGCUUUUUCCCAUAGAUUCUGGGUGUUUGACUUGCAAAAGUCAUUCCAGGUUGUAGAGCUGAGAAUUCAUAGCGGAAGCUUGGGCAAAUGGGAAUAUUGUUUGAGAUGCUGAAAGAGCUAACUACUCUGAAGAGGCAGGUACUGACAACCUCACCCGUCCUGUUGAAGCUCUGCCUCAGCUUCCCACUGUAAAAUGGGAAUAGUUCCACCCUCGCAUUCCUCCAGGAUGAUGUGGUGAUACUUUGUGAAGCAAUCUGUGGUGAGCACCACAGAGAAGCUCAUCAGGGAAUAGUUCUACAUUGAAAACAGAAUUUUUGAGAAAAUGAGACAGGAAGUCUUUACAAAGUCUUUCCUCUGAGCACCGUGACAGCUUCUCCCAAGCUCUCUUAUGCAAUACAGCUUGGUCUGCAGAUUCAAAGUAAUUUAUAUAUAUAGCAGAAGUGGCUGAAUAAAAAAAAUCAGACUCCAGUUUGAUUGAUGAAUUCUUACAGAAAGCUAACAUUUAAAUUUUUUUAAUCUGUUAAAGUACAUAGGCAGAGGAGAUGGAGUAUAUCGGUAUCACACCGACCUCACAUUUUAUACUAUUAUUUUUAUUCUGUGUAGUGAAAAAUACAUCUGGUUGUCAAAUUGCCAAAAGAAAAAAACCACCCCACAACACAACACUCAAGCCUGAUGCUUCA